rnacentral:rRNA from 1 species
UACGAGGGGGGCAAGCGUUGUUCGGAAUUAUUGGGCGUAAAGGGCGCGUAGGCGGUGCGGUAAGUCUGUUGUGAAAUCUCCGGGCUCAACUCGGAGUCUGCAUCAGAAACUGCCGUGCUCGAGUGUGGGAGAGGUGAGUGGAAUUCCCGGUGUAGCGGUGAAAUGCGUAGAUAUUGGGAAGAACACCGGUGGCGAAGGCGGCUCACUGGCCCGAAACUGACGCUCAUGCACGACAGCGUGGGGAUCAAACAGG